rnacentral:misc_RNA from 1 species
GUAGGUGAACCUGCGGAAGGAUCAUUAGUGAAUAUUAGCGCAUCUCUUCGGAGAGCGUGACCUCCACUUUCUAACUCUGUGCAUUUAUUUGGCGGGAAACUAUGUAGAUCAGUAGUAAUACUCGAACUACAUGUUUCCUGCGGCUCAUUUUAUAACACUAGUUAAAGUAUGUAACGAAAUAUCGAAACAAAAAAAAACUUUCAACAACGGAUCUCUUGGCUUGC